AACGGUAUCCCUAGUACGGCGAGUGAAGCGGGAAGAGCUCAAAUUUGAAAUCUGGUAGCCUUCGGUUGCCCGAGUUGUAAUCUAGAGAAGUGUUUUCCGUGCCGGCCCAUGUACAAGUCCCUUGGAACAGGGCGUCAUAGAGGGUGAGAAUCCCGUCCUUGACAUGGACCCCCGGUGCUUUGUGAUACACUUUCAACGAGUCGAGUUGUUUGGGAAUGCAGCUCAAAAUGGGUGGUGAAUUCCAUCUAAAGCUAAAUAUUGGCGAGAGACCGAUAGCGAACAAGUACCGUGAGGGAAAGAUGAAAAGCACUUUGGAAAGAGAGUUAAACAGUACGUGAAAUUGUUGAAAGGGAAACGAUUGAAGUCAGUCAUGCUCUUGGGACUUACCUCCCUUGAGUGGGGUCAACAUCAGUUUUGAUCGAUGGAUAAAGGCACGGGGAAGGUAGCACUCUCGGGUGAACUUAUAGCCUCGCGUCAUAUACAUUGAUUGGGACUGAGGAACGCAGCAUGCCUUAUGGCCGGGAUUCGUCCACGUACAUGCUUAGGAUGUUGACAUAAUGGCUUUAAACGACCCGUCUUGAACAACGGGACCA
rnacentral:rRNA from 1 species